UACGGAGGGUGCAAGCGUUAAUCGGAAUUACUGGGCGUAAAGCGCACGCAGGCGGUCAUUUAAGUCAGAUGUGAAAUCCCCGGGCUUAACCUGGGAAUUGCAUUUGAAACUGGGUGUCUAGAGUCCUGUAGAGGGGGGUAGAAUUCCAUGUGUAGCGGUGAAAUGCGUAGAGAUGUGGAGGAAUACCGAUGGCGAAGGCGGCCCCGUGGACAUGGACUGACGCUCAUGUGCGAAAGCGUGGGGAGCAAACAGG
rnacentral:rRNA from 1 species